rnacentral:rRNA from 1 species
AAAGCAUUUGAGAGAUGGAGUGACACAGUAGGAUAAGCUAACCGUACUGUUGGUUAUGUACGGCUAAGCAUUGAGGCAGUCUAAAUAGGCAAAUCCGUUUAGACAAUGCUAGGAUGUGAUGGGGAGGUCCUUCGGGGCGAAGUAGCUGAUUUCACACUGUCAAGAAAAGCUUCUAUCGAGUUUAAAGGCGCCCGUACCGUAAACCGACACAGGUGGGUGAGGAGAGUAUCCUAAGGCCAGCGAGAGAACUAUUGUUAAGGAACUCGGCAAAAUGACCCCGUAACUUAGGGAGAAGGGGUGCCUGUCUAUGACAGGCCGCAGAGAAUAGGCCCAAGCGACUGUUUACCAAAAACACAGGUUUCUGCUAAGUCGCAAGACGAUGUAUAGGAGCUGACGCCUGCCCGGUGCUGGAAGGUUAAGGGGAUCUGUUAGAGCAAUCGAAGCAGUGAACUUAAGCCCCAGUAAACGGCGGCCGUAACAAUAACGGUCCUAAGGUAGCGAAAUUCCUUGUCGGGUAAGUUCCGACCCGCACGAAAGGCGUAACGAUUUGGGCACUGUCUCAACAAUAGACUCGGUGAAAUUGUAAUCCCGGUGAAGAUGCCGGGUACCUGCGACAGGACGGAAAGACCCCAUGGAGCUUUACUGUAGCUUGAUGUUGGGUCUUGGUACUACAUGUACAGGAUAGGUGGGAGACUAUGAAGCAUGGACGCCAGUCUGUGUGGAGUCAUCCUUGGGAUACCACCCUUGUAGUACUGGGAUCCUAACCAUAGGCCUUGAAUCAGGUCUUGGAACACCGUCAGGUGGGCAGUUUGACUGGGGCGGUCGCCUCCUAAAAAGUAACGGAGGCGCUCAAAGGUUUCCUCAGCACGGUCGGAAAUCGUGCGAAGAGUGUAAAGGCAAAAGGAAGCUUGAUUGCAAGACAUACAGGUCGAGCAAGGACGAAAGUCGGACUUAGUGAUCCGGUGGUACCUCAUGGAAGGGCCAUCGCUCAACGGAUAAAAGCUACCCUGGGGAUAACAGGCUUAUCUCCCCCAAGAGUCCACAUCGACGGGGAGGUUUGGCACCUCGAUGUCGGCUCAUCACAUCCUGGGGCUGUAGUAGGUCCCAAGGGUUGGGCUGUUCGCCCAUUAAAGUGGUACGCGAGCUGGGUUCAGAACGUCGUGAGACAGUUCGGUCCCUAUCCGCCGCAGGCGUAGGAAAUUUGAGAAGACCUGUCCUUAGUACGAGAGGACCGGGAUGGACGUACCUCUGGUGUACCAGUUGUUCUGCCAAGGGCAUGGCUGGGUAGCUAUGUACGGAAUGGAUAAGCGCUGAAAGCAUCUAAGCGCGAAGCCAACUUCAAGAUAAGAUUUCCCACCGUAAGGGUAAGACCCCAGGAAGACUACCUGGUUGAUAGGUCGAAGGUGUAAGUGCAGUAAUGUAUUUAGCUUAUCGAUACUAAUAGGUCGAGGACUUGACCG